rnacentral:lncRNA from 10 species
AAUGGUUAUUCUGGAAGUACAUCAGUACGUUCAGAUCACUCAGUAUGGGAAAUGGAUUGUGGAGUAAUCAGAGUGGCUGUGGGGAGACCUCUUAGGAAGAAAUUACAGUUCAGUAUUCUAAAUAGGAGGAGUAGCCACAGAGAUGGGAAAAAAGUGAAUGAAGUCAAAACAUAAUUCAGAGGAGAGGCCUCCCUUUGUUCUUCAUAGCCACCUUUGGAUUUGUGAGCCCUCACAUCAGGAUCUACUAACAGUUUAUGUCCAUGCUGCAGAUAUAAAGGAUGAAGUUGUAGGGCAGGAAGUCUUAUGUAACUUGGAGCAGCUACUCAAUGGAAAUCACAAACAGAAUGAGUUUCAUCCACAUGUCAAGACACUACUACCAACAGAGCUAUUUCAGGACACCUACCUAAAUAACUAGCUGUCUCUUCCACUUAAAGCAAGGAGAGUCUUCUCUUAUCUUCAAGAAGAAUAAAAAGUGAAGCUGACAUUACUUGGAAAGAGAAUAAACAAAAUCUGUCAUGAGGACUGCAGGGAUGAAUGACACAAACCAGCCAUUUCUUUGAGAGUCAGGAAAUAUCUAGUUUAUACAAUAAGCUGAUCUACCAAUAAAAUACAAUUGGUGUUGAAAUAUA